rnacentral:siRNA from 1 species
CAUGAGUAUCCUGAGUACCGG